rnacentral:rRNA from 1 species
AUUGAACGCUGGCGGCAGGCCUAACACAUGCAAGUCGAACGGUAGCACAGAGAGCUUGCUCUCGGGUGACGAGUGGCGGACGGGUGAGUAAUGUCUGGGAAACUGCCCGAUGGAGGGAGAUAACUACUGGAAACGGUAGCUAAUACCGCAUAACGUCGCAAGACCAAAGUGGGGGACCUUCGGGCCUCACACCAUCGGAUGUGCCCAGAUGGGAUUAGCUAGUAGGUGGGGUAAUGGCUCACCUAGGCGACGCUCCCUAGCUGGUCUGAGAGGAUGACCAGCCACACUGGAACUGAGACACGGUCCAGACUCCUACGGGAGGCAGCAGUGGGGAAUAUUGCACAAUGGGCGCAAGCCUGAUGCAGCCAUGCCGCGUGUAUGAAGAAGGCCUUCGGGUUGUAAAGUACUUUCAGCGGGGAGGAAGGCGGUGAAGUUAAUAACUUCACCGAUUGACGUUACCCGCAGAAGAAGCACCGGCUAACUCCGUGCCAGCCGCCGCGGUAA